ACAGCAGAUGAGGAAGAAGCAAGAAAUCAAAGAAGCAGGAGAUGAACUCUGCAAUGACCACAUUUCUCAUGAGGGAUGGGAGAGACGCCAACCAUAAUACAGCACAGAUGGAUUAAUAUUCAUUAACGUCAUAACUUGUCUGUGCUACAGUAGCUACACUGGUGCCACUGCAGCCAAAGAACACAGAAUACUACUUGCAGAAUGACAAUUUGUUACAGGUAUAUACUAUUUCUCCUAUACUGACUUUUAAU